rnacentral:rRNA from 1 species
UAGGGAAUAUUAGAAAUGGACGAAAGUCUGAUCUAGCAACACCGCGUGUGCGAAGAAGGCCUUCGGGUCGUAGAGCACUUUUUGGAAGGAAUAGGAAGGAAUGUACUUCCAGAAUAAGUCUCGGCUAAUUACGUGCCAGCAGCCGCGGUAACACGUAGGAGGCGAACGUUAUCCGGAUUUACUGGGCGUAAAGCGCGUGUAGGUGGUACUGUAAGUAGGGCGUGAAAGCUCCUGGCUCAACUGGGAGAGGCCGUUCUAAGCUACAGAACUAGAGGAUGGUAGAGGGAGGUGGAAUUCCAGGUGUAGCGGUGGAAUGCGCAGAUAUCUGGAGGAACACCGGUGGCGAAGGCGGCCUCCUGGACCAUUCCUGACACUCAGACGCGAAAGCUAGGGUAGCAAACGG